GAUGGACUUUUCAAUAACAGCCAACAACGAUACAGCCAAUAAAUAAUCACAUCAUAGCAUCCAACAGCCGAAAGUAGACCCAUGAGAAUGUCCUCAACAGCAUGGUCAACAAAGAAAGAAAUAAAAACAUUGGAGCACCUCCUUAUCUCUCUCCUAACCCAUCAUAACUUAACCCUGAUUAUAUUUAAAACACUUAUCCAAGCAGCAAUUAAAUAUU
rnacentral:misc_RNA from 1 species